rnacentral:rRNA from 1 species
UACGUAGGGGGCAAGCGUUGUCCGGAUUUAUUGGGCGUAAAGAGCGUGUAGGCGGCCAGGUAGGUCCGUUGUGAAAACUCGAGGCUCAACCUCGAGACGUCGGCGGAAACCCUCUGGCUAGAGUCCGGAAGAGGAGAGUGGAAUUCCUGGUGUAGCGGUGAAAUGCGCAGAUAUCGUAAGGAAGACCAGUGGCGAAGGCGGGUCUCUGGACAGUUCCUGACGCUGAGGCACGAAGGCCAGGGGAGCAAACGGG